UUUGCUUCUGCACUUCUUCUUUAAUCUUAACUGCCAUUUCAGGAUGAGUUCUUCUCAACUUCUGCUUGACUGGCGGGCAUUUUGGCUUCAAUGGCAAUCUAUGCUCCAUAAUCUCAGAAUCUAAACCAGGCAUGUCUUGAUAGGACCAAGCAAACAAAUCGGAAUAUUUUCGAAGAAGAUCAAUCAACCCCUUCUUAGCUUCUGGACACAGUUAAGACCCAAUCUUGACUUUCUUCACAUCAUCCUCGGAA
rnacentral:lncRNA from 1 species